CACAAAGGUGGUUUUCCCAUCGUGAGGCUUUUCCUGAUGUGCUACCCCUGUGAUUUCCCCAAAUGUGGGAAACUCCACUGAAUAAUUUGUGGUUGU
rnacentral:snRNA from 1 species